UAUCCAAUUAUACAUUCUCUUGUAAGUUUAGGUAGGCAGUUUGUUAAAUUAAAUAGCUUAAACUAUCUAACAGUCAACUACCAAAGUCCUAACACACGUUUGAAAUAGGUCACUUAACAAACAAAUUGAAAUAAUCAGAAUAUUGUUUAUUACAAGCAUACAUAGGGAGUUCACCAACUAAGUUACCAUGUAUGAAUGUCUAGUUAUACAUCAGCUACCUAUAUGAUUCUAGUAGGGGAAAUGAACUAUUCUAUACACGACUGUUGUUAAAUAUACUACUAAAAAUGAAUUUUAAAAAAAUGGCUUCAUGCAAAUCAGUUGCGUACCUGAUAUUUGGAAAGCAAAGAAGAGGGAGAUCAGUAGAAACAGCAGUAACAUACACAGCAAAUAACAGUACUCAGCAACAAAUAGCAACACCCAAUAACCAGCAAUAACCAGCAGUAGAACCCAGGGACAGCUAAAACAAUCAGAAAAUCCAGUAGCGACCCAAUGAAACAAUGCUCAAUCCGCUAGAUAACAUCGCAGAUGCCGAAAAUAAAACCCAGCAGUACCAAAAGGCAAUCACAGAUAAAGCAGAAGAAAGGCAAAUGUAAGUAAACAAUACUGUUUCUGAUUAUCAGCCCUCAAGGAAGACCAAAUUGAAAUUUUUUAAGUGAAAAGUCAGCCUAAUGUCACUCUGUAUCUGACCUUUUUUCAGUUAUGAAAAAUCACUUCAACUCCAACUCUUAAGUUCUGAAUUCUUCUCUAAAAAAAUUCUCUUCUCUCUCAGAUUGUGUGUGUACCUUUAGUUUUAGAAUGAGCUUAUUUAUAGGCUAUAACUAGACAUCUUUUUCUCAAAGUUCCUCACUUUACAGCCAAUUUUAUUCCCUUCUCAUGUGCAUUUCUACCUUCUCAUCAUUAAACACAUGUUAUUACUGAUUUCCCACUGGUAAAGUCACUAAGCUAACUCAAACAGUACCCUUUUAUCAUUAACCCCUUAAGGUUUCUGAUCUUCCCCCUUUAAGGUAUUGAAAAGAAUGUCAGCUUUUAAUUUUAAAAAAUCCCUUGUUAUUCCCUGAAUCCCAUUACUGAAUGUCCAGUUUGUUAUUCCAAUUAAUUAAGUGUGCAGCCUGGAUUUUAUUCAAUUCUCCCAUGUUAUUUCUGACUUGACCCCACCCCAUAAUAUUAAAGAAAGUUAUCAGCUUAGUGGUACCUUAAUGCUACUGACAGAACAUUAAGUUCCUAACAAAAAACUAAGGUAUUUUCUUUUCAGGUUUUAAGACUAAAUUAACCCCAGGGCACAUGACCUACUGCCUUGUCCUAAAUUAGAACCCCCAUAACAUGAUUUAUAAUUAACUACUAAGGUAUUGCAGCUAUAACUAAUUUCACAACUAAAUUCAAACAAUGAUUCAAUCAAAAUUGAGACAGUAUGAAUCAAAUUGCUAUCAGGGCAUUAUAACAUUCAAACUUGUAAAACUAAUCAACGACACUCAAUCAAUCGACUAUAUAAAUCACCACAAACACUAUCAGGGCAUUCUAACAUUCAAACCUGUAAAACUAAUCGAUGAUACUCAAUCAAUCGACUAUAUAAAUCACCACAUACACAAUUGAUAACACAUAGAAACAAACAGACAAAAUAAAGGAUUCAAGUGAUGUGACAAAACAGGGGUUGUAAUGAAACUGACUAGUCGACCAAGUUUUCCAAAAUCGACUACACGGUUUAUACACUUAACAAUGAACAGACAAAAUUUUUGAUCAAAUAAAAGGUCUGAAUUGGAGAAGAAGAACAAAGCAUAUAGAUUGGAAAUAAAAUUAUUCUAACCACACAAACGAAUAAAAAAAUAGAACAAACAAAGAAAAAGAAAAGGAAUGCCUUGAGUAGACUACAUGACCCAAGUUCGAACUCAGACUCGACCUCUUUGAGGUCGAAUGGACCUUAAUCGAGUGUUCUCAAUGGAGAACACUUCGACUGAGGUCUAUUAGACCCCCAAUCCCUCUACUAAUUUGGACCAAUUCCUGGUUCUUGGAUUUCUAGGGUUCUUGGGCUCAGAUUAAGCUUGAAGGUUUCUACCUAGAUUCGAACCAAACAAAGAUUAGUUUGGUUACGAGUGAGUUUAGGGAAAGGUCGUGCAUCAGUUUCAGGCAAUUUGGUGUAGUUUGGAUUUGGAUUCGAAUCUUCGAAUGAAGAUUCGAGAAGUUUUGGCUUGGUUCGAGAGAUGUGGCUAGGUUAGUCGUGUUUGGGGUGAAGAGGGGGUUCUGUUGUUUUAAGAUGGUGACCGGCGGCGUAGUUGCCGAUGAGCUUCAGGUGGAAGGAGCUUAGGGCGUCUAGGGUUUUCAGAGGUUCGUCUCUGAUCUCUUGAGAGAGAUAAAGUGAGAUGGGGUGGGGUUGGCUAUGGGGGCGUGGGGUAAGAGACGGGGGGUUUAUAUACGAAGGGGGUGGUUGGAUCCUGGCCGUUGGAUCAAGAAUGAUCAACAGCCAAGAUAUUUCAUAUGGGUGAAACAGUGUCGUGUGAUUUAAGUGAGACUGGGUCGGUCUCUGGGGUUAAAUGGGUUGGGUAUCAGGGAAUGUUCGGGAAUGUUAAACAAGCUAAGAUGGAUGGCUCAUAUCACACGCCUAAAUACGGUGUCAUUUGGACUAGAAGGAGACCUGAUCUGGGUCGUUCAAAAAUGAUUUGAUCAACGGUGUCGUUU
rnacentral:lncRNA from 1 species